rnacentral:rRNA from 1 species
GACGAACGCUGGCGGCGUGCUUAACACAUGCAAGUCGAACGGAAAGGCCCUUCGGGGUACUCGAGUGGCGAACGGGUGAGUAACACGUGGGUGAUCUGCCCUGCACUUUGGGAUAAGCCUGGGAAACUGGGUCUAAUACCGAAUAGGACCACGCGCUUCAUGGUGUGUGGUGGAAAGCUUUUGCGGUGUGGGAUGGGCCCGCGGCCUAUCAGCUUGUUGGUGGGGUAAUGGCCUACCAAGGCGACGACGGGUAGCCGGCCUGAGAGGGUGACCGGCCACACUGGGACUGGGAUACGGCCCAGACUCCUACGGGGGGCAGCGGUGGGGAAUAUUGCACAAUGGGCGCAGGCCUGAUGCAGCGACGCCGCGUGGGGGAUGACGGCCUUCGGGUUGUAAACCUCUUUCAAUGGGGACGAAGCGGAAGUGACGGUACCUAUAGAAGAAGCACCGGCCAACUACGU